CAAGUUUAAACAUAGUCACAUCCCUGCCAUCAUUUCACAAGGAAAGAAUGUUAAACAAAAAUCAGAAGACGACAAAGAUGUCUUGGAACCAUGAUAUUGUUGGAAACACUCACGUUACGGAAUUUGAGCUAGAAAUUUCUAUCAGAUACAUCAUUACUAGUAACUGGAGACAGUGAAAGGAUAGUUUUCUACUUCAAUCUCUUGUGAUAUUGCCUCUAAAAAUGAUAGAUAGCUGCUCAGAAUUGAGGAUAACCUCUUAUGAACAGCCAGCAAAAAGGCAGGCCCUUGGAUGAAUGGCCACAAGAAAAUAAAUUCUACCAACACUCUAAGGAAAUUUGGAUAUAGAAUUUUCCUCAAUCAAGCCACCAGAUGAAAGCACAACCUGUCAAACACAUAGAUUACAGCCUUUUGAGACCCUAACCAGUUAGGUAAGUCACACCUGGACUCCUGAC
rnacentral:lncRNA from 1 species